rnacentral:rRNA from 1 species
UAUGGCUACCUUGUUACGACUUCACCCCAAUCACCGCUCAAACCUUGGGCCGCUCCUUCCUUGCGGUUAGGUCACGGACUUCUGGUUCAAGUAGCUUUCGUGGUGUGACGGGCGGUGUGUACAACGCCCGGGAACGUAAUCACCGCGGCAUGCUGAUCCUCGAUUACUAACGAUUCCUCCUUCAUGGAGUCGAAUUGCACACUCACAAUCCGAACUGAGAUCAGCUUUUUGGGAUUUGCUUCCCCUCGCGGGCUCACGACCCUCUGUGCCAACAAUUGUAGCACGUGAGUAACCCUGGACAUAAGGGCCAUGACGACUUGACGUCCUCCACACCUUCCUCCGGUUUAACACCGGAAGUCUCAAUAGAGUGCCCAGCCGAACUGAUGGCAACUAAUGAUAGGGGUUGCGCUCGCUGCGGGACUUAACCCUUCACCUCACGACACGAGCUGACGACUGCCAUGCAUCACCUGUCUUGGAGCUCCCAAAGGAACCCUCUCGUAACCCAGAGGUUCCCCAGAUGUCAAUUCCAAGUAAGGUUCUGCGCGUUGCUUUAAAUUAAACCACAUGCUCCACCUCUUGUGUGGGCCCCCGUCAAUUCCUUUCAAAUUUAGUCCUGCGAAAUUACUCUCCAAACUGCGUGCAAAAAGGAUUAACGACGGAACUGCAAGUGUCACAAUACGCGCACAAUAAAAUCUUAAC